rnacentral:rRNA from 1 species
UGGCGGCAUGCCUUACACAUGCAAGUCGAACGGCAGCACGGGUGCUUGCACCUGGUGGCGAGUGGCGAACGGGUGAGUAAUACAUCGGAACAUGUCCUGUAGUGGGGGAUAGCCCGGCGAAAGCCGGAUUAAUACCGCAUACGAUCUAUGGAUGAAAGCGGGGGACCUUCGGGCCUCGCGCUAUAGGGUUGGCCGAUGGCUGAUUAGCUAGUUGGUGGGGUAAAGGCCUACCAAGGCGACGAUCAGUAGCUGGUCUGAGAGGACAACCAGCCACACUGGGACUGAGACACGGCCCAAACUCCUACGGGAGGCAGCAGUGGGGAAUUUUGGACAAUGGGCGAAAGCCUGAUCCAGCAAUGCCGCGUGUGUGAACAAGGCCUUCGGGUUGUAAAGCACUUUUGUCCGGAAAGAAAUCCUUGGCUCUAAUACAGUCGGGGGAUGACGGUACCGGAAGAAUAAGCACCGGCUAACUACGUGCCAGCAGCCGCGGUAAUACGUAGGGUGCAAGCGUUAAUCGGAAUUACUGGGCGUAAAGCGUGCGCAGGCGGUUUGCUAAGACCGAUGUGAAAUCCCCGGGCUCAACCUGGGAACUGCAUUGGUGACUGGCAGGCUAGAGUAUGGCAGAGGGGGGUAGAAUUCCACGUGUAGCAGUGAAAUGCGUAGAGAUGUGGAGGAAUACCGAUGGCGAAGGCAGCCCCCUGGGCCAAUACUGACGCUCAUGCACGAAAGCGUGGGGAGCAAACAGGAUUAGAUACCCUGGUAGUCCACGCCCUAAACGAUGUCAACUAGUUGUUGGGGAUUCAUUUCCUUAGUAACGUAGCUAACGCGUGAAGUUGACCGCCUGGGGAGUACGGUCGCAAGAUUAAAACUCAAAGGAAUUGACGGGGACCCGCACAAGCGGUGGAUGAUGUGGAUUAAUUCGAUGCAACGCGAAAAACCUUACCUACCCUUGACAUGGUCGGAAUCCUGAAGAGAUUCGGGAGUGCUCGAAAGAGAACCGGCGCACAGGUGCUGCAUGGCUGUCGUCAGCUCGUGUCGUGAGAUGUUGGGUUAAGUCCCGCAACGAGCGCAACCCUUGUCCUUAGUUGCUACGCAAGAGCACUCUAAGGAGACUGCCGGUGACAAACCGGAGGAAGGUGGGGAUGACGUCAAGUCCUCAUGGCCCUUAUGGGUAGGGCUUCACACGUCAUACAAUGGUCGGAACAGAGGGUUGCCAACCCGCGAGGGGGAGCUAAUCCCAGAAAACCGAUCGUAGUCCGGAUUGCACUCUGCAACUCGAGUGCAUGAAGCUGGAAUCGCUAGUAAUCGCGGAUCAGCAUGCCGCGGUGAAUACGUUCCCGGGUCUUGUACACACCGCCCGUCACACCAUAGGAGUGGGUUUUACCAGAAGUGGCUAGUCUAACCGCAAGGAGGACGGUCACCACGGUAGGA